AGUUAAAAAAAGACCGAACACGAUUCCUGUGCCCGGUCUAGGGAAAUGGCUCUUGGGAGAGAGCCGUGCGCUAAAAGUUGGCAUUUGUUGCAAGUUGCAUCACAACCUGCUCUUUAAGCGUAGACGACCCCUCUCUGUUUUCCAGUUU
rnacentral:sRNA from 1 species